ACUCCUACGGGAGGCAGCAGUGGGGAAUUUUGGACAAUGGGCGAAAGCCUGAUCCAGCCAUGCCGCGUGCAGGAUGAAGGCCUUCGGGUUGUAAACUGUCUUUGUACGGAACGAAAGACUCUGGUUAAUACCUGGGGUCCGAUGACGGUACCGUAAGAAUAAGCACCGGCUAACUACGUGCCAGCAGCCGCGGUAAUACGUAGGGUGCAAGCGUUAAUCGGAAUUACUGGGCGUAAAGCGUGCGCAGGCGGUUAUAUAAGACAGAUGUGAAAUCCCCCGGGCUCAACCUGGGAACUGCAUUUGUGACUGUAUAGCUAGAGUACGGCAGAGGGGAUGGAAUUCCGCGUGUAGCAGUGAAAUGCGUAGAUAUGCGGAGGAACACCGAUGGCGAAGGCAAUCCCCUGGGCCUGUACUGACGCUCAUGCACGAAAGCGUGGGAGCAAACAGGAUUAGAUACCCCUGGUAGGAUAGCG
rnacentral:rRNA from 1 species